rnacentral:rRNA from 1 species
AGAGUUUGAUCCUGGCUCAGAUUGAACGCUGGCGGCAGGCCUAACACAUGCAAGUCGAGCGGAUGAGUGGAGCUUGCUCCAUGAUUCAGCGGCGGACGGGUGAGUAAUGCCUAGGAAUCUGCCUGGUAGUGGGGGACAACGUUUCGAAAGGAACGCUAAUACCGCAUACGUCCUACGGGAGAAAGCAGGGGACCUUCGGGCCUUGCGCUAUCAGAUGAGCCUAGGUCGGAUUAGCUAGUAGGUGAGGUAAAGGCUCACCUAGGCGACGAUCCGUAACUGGUCUGAGAGGAUGAUCAGUCACACUGGAACUGAGACACGGUCCAGACUCCUACGGGAGGCAGCAGUGGGGAAUAUUGGACAAUGGGCGAAAGCCUGAUCCAGCCAUGCCGCGUGUGUGAAGAAGGUCUUCGGAUUGUAAAGCACUUUAAGUUGGGAGGAAGGGCAGUAAGUUAAUACCUUGCUGUUUUGACGUUACCAACAGAAUAAGCACCGGCUAACUUCGUGCCAGCAGCCGCGGUAAUACGAAGGGUGCAAGCGUUAAUCGGAAUUACUGGGCGUAAAGCGCGCGUAGGUGGUUCAGCAAGUUGGAGGUGAAAUCCCCGGGCUCAACCUGGGAACUGCCUCCAAAACUACUGAGCUAGAGUACGGUAGAGGGUAGUGGAAUUUCCUGUGUAACGGUGAAAUGCGUAGAUAUAGGAAGGAACACCAGUGGCGAAGGCGAC